AGGCCCAGCAGGAAGAGGCACAGGAAGGCUUCUUGAUGCUGCCUCACAGUCUAGCUGUUGAAUAGUCUGCCACGCCAGGAAGGCAUGACUCCAGAAAUGUCCUGGGUCUCUCUAUUAUUUAGCUCUGGAUGUCCUGAGACUCAUUAUGUAGAGCACGCUGGCGUAGAACUACCAGAAACCGGCCUGCUUCUGUCCGUGAGUGCUGGGAUUAAAGGUCGGAUGUUACUCUGCAUGCAAAAGGUAAAACAUGGAAAUCAAAACCAAGAAGACAAUCCUUAUCUUGUGUUUUCAAGAUAAUCUAUGGCACACAAGCAGAGCCAGCACCCACAGUGCACAGUGGCCAGGAGCCAGCACCCACAGUGCUCCAUGUCUACACUAUUCUGACCUGUCUCCUCAGGACCACUGUUACCUGCAGUUACUUAUCCAGGACUUACCUCUCACAAGAUCAACA
rnacentral:lncRNA from 1 species